AAGAUGUAGAAAUAUAUGGUAAUUCGUAAAUAUAAGAAAGCAGAGUGCAUGACUAAAUAGAAGAUCGAUGUUGGUCACUUCAGUGCUUUCCUUUAAAUACGUUUGCAUUUUCGAGACAAUAAAAUUGAAACACCCGAGCAUUUUGAGUCUCAGCUUACAACUGUUAUAAAUUAUUAAGAAAGGAAUCCAAGGUUUUGCAGAAUUUCCAUAU